rnacentral:rRNA from 1 species
UAGGGAAUCUUCCACAAUGGACGAAAGUCUGAUGGAGCAACGCCGCGUGAGUGAUGAAGGGUUUCGGCUCGUAAAACUCUGUUGUUGGAGAAGAACAGGUGUGAGAGUAACUGUUCACAUCUUGACGGUAUCCAACCAGAAAGCCACGGCUAACUACGUG